rnacentral:rRNA from 1 species
CCCCUAGAUGUUCUGGGCCGCACGCGCGCUACACUGAACAGUUCAACAAGUCUUAACCUUGGCCGAUAGGUCUGGGUAAUCUUUGAACGCUGUUCGUGAUUGGGAUAGACCUUUGCAAUUAUGGGUCUUCAACGAGGAAUUCCUAGUAAACGCAAGUCAUCAGCUUGCAUUGAUUACGUCCCUGCCCUUUGUACACACCGCCCGUCGCACCUACCGAUUGAAUGGUCCGGUGAAAUCUCGGGACGGAGGCUUGGUCGCUUGCGUCCGACUGCUGAAACUUGAUUAAACCAUAUCAUUUAGAGGAAGGUGAAGUCGUAACA